AGAGUUUGAUCAUGGCUCAGAACGAACGCUGACGGUAUGCUUAAUACAUGCAAGUCGUACGAGAAAGUUCCUUCGGGAAUGUGUAAAGUGGCGCACGGGUGAGUAACACGUAGGUGACCUGCCUAUCAGAUUGGAAUAACCCAGGGAAACCUGGGCUAAUACCGGAUAAUGUGAGUGAAUUAAAAUAAACUCAGCAAAGAUGGCCUCUGCUUGCAAGCUAUCGCUGAUAGAUGGGCCUGCGUCGCAUUAGCUAGUUGGUAGGGUAAUGGCCUACCAAGGCGAUGAUGCGUAGCCGGUCUGAGAGGAUGAUCGGCCACACUGGAACUGAGACACGGUCCAGACUCCUACGGGAGGCAGCAGUAGGGAAUCUUGCGCAAUGGGCGAAAGCCUGACGCAGCAAUACCGUGUGAGUGAGGAAGGCCUUCGGGUUGUAAAGCUCUGUCACAAGGGACAAACGGUCUGGGUGUGAACAAUGCCCAGGUUUGAUGGUACCUUGAGAGGAAGCACCGGCUAACUUCGUGCCAGCAGCCGCGGUAAUACGAAGGGUGCAAGCGUUGUUCGGAAUUAUUGGGCGUAAAGCGCGCGCAGGCGGGUAGACAAGUCAGAUGUUAAAUCUCGGGGCUCAACCCCGAACCUGCGUCUGAAACUGCCUACCUAGAAUGUCGGAGGGGGAAGGGGAAUUUCACAUGUAGGGGUAAAAUCCGUAGAGAUGUGAAGGAACACCGGAGGCGAAGGCGCCUUCCUGGCCGAAAAUUGAGCUGAGGCGCGAAAGCGUGGGGAGCAAACAGGAUUAGAUACCCUAGUAGUCC
rnacentral:rRNA from 1 species